GACGAACGCUGGCGGCGUGCCUAAUACAUGCAAGUAGAACGCACAGUUUAUACCGUAGCUUGCUACACCAUAGACUGUGAGUUGCGAACGGGUGAGUAACGCGUAGGUAACCUGCCUGGUAGCGGGGGAUAACUAUUGGAAACGAUAGCUAAUACCGCAUAAUAUUAAUUAUUGCAUGAUAAUUAAUUGAAAGGUGCAAUUGCACCACUACCAGAUGGACCUGCGUUGUAUUAGCUAGUAGGUGAGGUAACGGCUCACCUAGGCGACGAUACAUAGCCGACCUGAGAGGGUGAUCGGCCACACUGGGACUGAGACACGGCCCAGACUCCUACGGGAGGCAGCAGUAGGGAAUCUUCGGCAAUGGACGAAAGUCUGACCGAGCAACGCCGCGUGAGUGAAGAAGGUUUUCGGAUCGUAAAGCUCUGUUGUAAGAGAAGAACGGGAGUGAGAGUGGAAAGUUCACACUGUGACGGUAUCUUACCAGAAAGGGACGGCUAACUACGUG
rnacentral:rRNA from 1 species